GAUGAACGCUGGCGGCGUGCUUAACACAUGCAAGUCGAACGAUGAAGCCCAGCUUGCUGGGUGGAUUAGUGGCGAACGGGUGAGUAACACGUGAGUAACCUGCCCUUAACUCUGGGAUAAGCCUGGGAAACUGGGUCUAAUACCGGAUAGGAGCGUCCACCGAAUGGUGGGUGUUGGAAAGAUUGAUCGGUUUUGGAUAGAUGCGCGGCCUAUCCGCUUGUUGGUGGGGUAGUGGCUCACCAAGGCGACGACGGGUAGCCGGCCCGGGAGGGUGACCACGGACACGGGGACUGCGGGACGGAGCAGACGCCAACGGGGGGCAGCAGGGGGGAAUAUUGCACAACGGGAGCAAGCGUGAUGCAGCGGCCCCGGGGGUGGGAUGACGGCCUUCGGGGUGUAAACCUCUUUCAGUAGGGAAGAAGCGAAAGUGACGGUACCUGCAGAAGAAGCACCGGCUAACUACGUG
rnacentral:rRNA from 1 species